rnacentral:rRNA from 1 species
GGGUUGUGAGGUUAAGCGACUAAGCGUACACGGUGGAUGCCCUGGCAGUCAGAGGCGAUGAAGGACGUGCUAAUCUGCGAAAAGCGUCGGUAAGGUGAUAUGAACCGUUAUAACCGGCGAUGUCCGAAUGGGGAAACCCAGUGUGAUUCGUCACACUAUCGUUAACUGAAUACAUAGGUUAACGAGGCGAACCGGGGGAACUGAAACAUCUAAGUACCCCGAGGAAAAGAAAUCAACCGAGAUUCCCCCAGUAGCGGCGAGCGAACGGGGAGCAGCCCAGAGUCUGAAUCAGCUUGUGUGUUAGUGGAACGGUCUGGAAAGUCCGACGGUACAGGGUGAUAGUCCCGUACACCAAAAUGCACAGGCUGUGAACUCGAAGAGUAGGGCGGGACACGUGGUAUCCUGUCUGAAUAUGGGGGGACCAUCCUCCAAGGCUAAAUACUCCUGACUGACCGAUAGUGAACCAGUACCGUGAGGGAAAGGCGAAAAGAACCCCGGCGAGGGGAGUGAAAAAGAACCUGAAACCGUGUACGUACAAGCAGUGGGAGCACCUUCGGGUGUGACUGCGUACCUUUUGUAUAAUGGGUCAGCGACUUAUAUUCUGUAGCAAGGUUAACCGUAUAGGGGAGCCGCAGGGAAACCGAGUCUUAACUGGGCGUUAAGUUGCAGGGUAUAGACCCGAAACCCGGUGAUCUAGCCAUGGGCAGGUUGAAGGUUGGGUAACACUAACUGGAGGACCGAACCGACUAAUGUUGAAAAAUUAGCGGAUGACUUGUGGCUGGGGGUGAAAGGCCAAUCAAACCGGGAGAUAGCUGGUUCUCCCCGAAAGCUAUUUAGGUAGCGCCUCGUGAAUUCAUCUUCGGGGGUAGAGCACUGUUUCGGCUAGGGGGUCAUCCCGACUUACCAACCCGAUGCAAACUACGAAUACCGAAGAAUGUUAUCACGGGAGACACACGGCGGGUGCUAACGUCCGUCGUGAAGAGGGAAACAACCCAGACCGCCAGCUAAGGUCCCAAAGUCAUGGUUAAGUGGGAAACGAUGUGGGAAGGCACAGACAGCCAGGAUGUUGGCUUAGAAGCAGCCAUCAUUUAAAGAAAGCGUAAUAGCUCACUGGUCGAGUCGGCCUGCGCGGAAGAUGUAACGGGGCUAAACCAUGCACCGAAGCUGCGGCAGCGACACUAUGUGUUGUUGGGUAGGGGAGCGUUCUGUAAGCCUGCGAAGGUGUGCUGUGAGGCAUGCUGGAGGUAUCAGAAGUGCGAAUGCUGACAUAAGUAACGAUAAAGCGGGUGAAAAGCCCGCUCGCCGGAAGACCAAGGGUUCCUGUCCAACGUUAAUCGGGGCAGGGUGAGUCGACCCCUAAGGCGAGGCCGAAAGGCGUAGUCGAUGGGAAACAGGUUAAUAUUCCUGUACUUGGUGUUACUGCGAAGGGGGGACGGAGAAGGCUAUGUUAGCCGGGCGACGGUUGUCCCGGUUUAAGCAUGUAGGCUGGUUGUCCAGGCAAAUCCGGAUAAUCAAGGCUGAGGUGUGAUGACGAGGCACUACGGUGCUGAAGUAACAAAUGCCCUGCUUCCAGGAAAAGCCUCUAAGCAUCAGGUAACAUCAAAUCGUACCCCAAACCGACACAGGUGGUCAGGUAGAGAAUACCAAGGCGCUUGAGAGAACUCGGGUGAAGGAACUAGGCAAAAUGGUGCCGUAACUUCGGGAGAAGGCACGCUGGUGUGUAGGUGAAGUCCCUGCGGAUGGAGCUGAGACCAGUCGAAGAUACCAGCUGGCUGCAACUGUUUAUUAAAAACACAGCACUGUGCAAACACGAAAGUGGACGUAUACGGUGUGACGCCUGCCCGGUGCCGGAAGGUUAAUUGAUGGGGUUAUCCGUAAGGAGAAGCUCUUGAUCGAAGCCCCGGUAAACGGCGGCCGUAACUAUAACGGUCCUAAGGUAGCGAAAUUCCUUGUCGGGUAAGUUCCGACCUGCACGAAUGGCGUAAUGAUGGCCAGGCUGUCUCCACCCGAGACUCAGUGAAAUUGAACUCGCUGUGAAGAUGCAGUGUACCCGCGGCAAGACGGAAAGACCCCGUGAACCUUUACUAUAGCUUGACACUGAACAUUGAGCCUUGAUGUGUAGGAUAGGUGGGAGGCUUUGAAGCGUGGACGCCAGUCUGCGUGGAGCCAACCUUGAAAUACCACCCUUUAAUGUUUGAUGUUCUAACGUUGGCCCCUUACCGGGGUUGCGGACAGUGUCUGGUGGGUAGUUUGACUGGGGCGGUCUCCUCCCAAAGCGUAACGGAGGAGCACGAAGGUUAGCUAAUCCUGGUCGGACAUCAGGAGGUUAGUGCAAUGGCAUAAGCUAGCUUGACUGCGAGCGUGACGGCGCGAGCAGGUGCGAAAGCAGGUCAUAGUGAUCCGGUGGUUCUGAAUGGAAGGGCCAUCGCUCAACGGAUAAAAGGUACUCCGGGGAUAACAGGCUGAUACCGCCCAAGAGUUCAUAUCGACGGCGGUGUUUGGCACCUCGAUGUCGGCUCAUCACAUCCUGGGGCUGAAGUAGGUCCCAAGGGUAUGGCUGUUCGCCAUUUAAAGUGGUACGCGAGCUGGGUUUAGAACGUCGUGAGACAGUUCGGUCCCUAUCUGCCGUGGGCGCUGGAGAAUUGAGGGGGGCUGCUCCUAGUACGAGAGGACCGGAGUGGACGCAUCACUGGUGUUCGGGUUGUCAUGCCAAUGGCACUGCCCGGUAGCUAAAUGCGGAAGAGAUAAGUGCUGAAAGCAUCUAAGCACGAAACUUGCCCCGAGAUGAGUUCUCCCUGAGACUUUAAGUCUCCUGAAGGAACGUUAAAGACGAUGACGUUGAUAGGCCGGGUGUGUAAGCGCAGCGAUGCGUUGAGCUAACCGGUACUAAUGAACCGUGAGGCUUAACCUUACAACGCCGAAG